rnacentral:rRNA from 1 species
UACGUAGGUGGCAAGCGUUUGUCCGGAUUUAUUGGGUUUAAAGGGUGCGUAGGCGGUCAUGUAAGUCAGCGGUGAAAUCCGGCAGCUCAACUGUCGAUGUGCCAUUGAUACUGCAUGACUUGAGUACUGAUGAGGUAGGCGGAAUUGACGGUGUAGCGGUGAAAUGCUUAGAUAUCGUCAAGAACACCGAUAGCGAAGGCAGCUUACUAAGCAGUAACUGACGCUGAUGCACGAAAAGUGUGGGGAUCAAACAGG